GGAUGGUGGUGCAUUCGUGGUUGGGUUGGGGUUAGAUGAGUAAAGGUGAACAUAAAAAUCAACAAAACCUGUAACAAAUCAUAGAUCCCUUAAUCUUGACAAUUGAUCGUUUUUUCUUAUUGAUCCCUUAAUGAGAAACAAGUUUGCUAGAAGAAUCAAAACAGUGUGAAACAAAGGAUCACAAUAUAAAUACUUAUGUGAUGAGAUACUAUAUAUCAAAUAAUUAAGAAAAAAUGGCAUAAUAUGUAACUUUUGAUGAGUACGAAACUGUACUAAGAUACCAUAACAACCACUCAAUGCAACAUACAUGACAGCAAUGGAGAUGAUGUUGGACUUUGGAAGACUUAGUUGAGUGAAGGAUAAACCAUUUGAGAAAAAACAAAAAGGUGGAUGUGACUCUUUUGAACGAACAAAGAUCAUCUCCUAGUUUUUGUUUUUUCUUUUUAUUUUCAAUGACAAAAGUGUUAUCCAAUAUAUAUGAAAGGAUAAAAGUAUCGUACCAUAUUAAUCCUUUGUUUAAUACUUCUUUAAUCCUUUUGAACAUGAAGAGGACACCAAAGCCAUGUGACAUGUCUCUCUGAUCAAUCAAGGAUGGUAAACAAAUCAUCAUGUCCUUCCAUUAAUUAGAGAGUGGCCUCCUUUGUCGUCUUCUUAGUUUUUGGCCAUGCAAACUUUUCACCUUUCAUGCAAUGCUUUUCCUUCAUCAAUGGCAAAGUGAGAGAUGUACAUUUGUCCAUCUUAAUCUUAUUUUUAUCAUUACUAGCUUCAUGCUCUAGUGUCCCAUGCAUUUUUCAUCUCCAAAGUUUCAAAAUUCCUUGCCCUUAUUACACUUUUUUGUUGUUGUUUUGGUGUGAAAUCACAAAUAUUGUUCACGAUAGACAAUUCUGAUUAAGUCGGAUAAUACUUCUACCAAUGAUAAUACUCUUUGGAUAAUCAACUCAACUACGUUGUCAAGACUUAACUCAAGACUGAUGGUUAACCAAUUAAACCUUAGUAGUCGAUCCACACGCUCCGUGGUGUUACAUUCAUACUCUAUGGUUACUUUUCUUGUUGGAAAGCAAACUAGUUUGGAAGCAAUAUUUUG
rnacentral:lncRNA from 1 species